rnacentral:lncRNA from 1 species
UGGCCUCUGAGGUCAACGACGCCGGCGUGUCGGUGUCGCCGCUGUACCUGGCCGUGAUGAGUGUGAGCUAACAGCUGCACAUGCUUGUUCUUCCUUCAGUUUCGACAGGUUUCAACAGGUCAUCUCUCUGUCAGUUCCGUUAGGGGGAAGCCACCACUGUAUCUUUCCCAUUUUCAUUCAAAUAACCUGAGCUGCGACUCGGGCGUAGACUAGGAUAGUUCUUCCCUAUCGUUGCGGCCCUGACCUGAUCGUGGGAUGACACGAAUGAGAUGGUCAUGGGAGCAUCACGGGCGAAGCGCGGGGAGCGUUGGGAUGGCGAUGCUCACGACUCGCUCCUUUCCCGUUUUUCGUUUUCAGUUAGUUCAUGUAUUCGUUGCUUAAGAGAAGGAAUAGAAACAGAAAAGCUGCACUUGCACGCGGCACAAAAACCUCCUUCGUCUACCACUAACCAGAGUGAGAGAGAGAGAGCAAGCUCGAGCGGUUUAGGGUCUCACAAGUGGCAUCAGAGCCGCGUUGACAGGAUCCGGCGACCUGUGAUGGCGGGUGAUGAUGGCAAGAAGAAGGCGGAGGGCGCCGACGACGACGGAAGCAAGAGCUCGCCACGAUACGCGGUCGGCCAAGGGCGCGAGCUGACGGUGGCGAGGCAAUUCGCUCCGGUCAUGUCGGGUCACGCCAACGUACCACCAUUGACACGCACGAACUACGCCGAGUGGAGCCUUCUCAUGGAGGUUGGGAUGCACGCAAGAGGUAUGUGGCGCGCGAUCGAGGGCGCCGAGGACCUUGACGAGGAGUACGGGUACCGCAACGACAAGGGAGCGAUGGAGUUCAUCCUCCGAUCGGUCCCUGCUGAGAUGCUGCCCAUGCUCCGGAAGCACAAAACUUCCCAGGAGUUGUGUGAGGCGAUCCGAGCCAUGCGCCCAGGCUCCGCGCGUGUUCGGGACCCCAAGGCCCAAAACCUCCCGGGGGGAGUUCGAUCAGCUGCGCCACAAACCCGGUGAGUCCAUCGACGAGCUAGCCAUGCGCCUCACAGGGCUGUGCGCGCGCCUCGGGGAGCUUGGAGAUGUGAUCAGCGACAAGCGCGUCAUCCAGAAGUGGCUGCGGGUCGUCCCCAAGCGGUACUCGCAGCUCGCGCUCUCCAUCGACAACCUCGUCGACCUGGACGCGACGUCAAUAGAAGAGGUUAUCGGCCAUUUCAAGGCGGCCGAGGAGCGCUACGAACUGGACGCCGAGGAAGAGGGCGGCAGCAAGCUCCUCCUCACCAUGGAGGAGUGGAACGCGCGUGCCAAGCGAGGAGAUCAAGGCGGGUCCCCUAGCGAGGGGGCCAACGGCGGGAAGAAACCGCAAGGAAAGGGGCAAGGUGACCGCAGCAAGAAUGCCGCCCGUCCUGGCGGCGGAAAGGGCGGGCCCAAGCGCUCCGGCAACUGCCGCUAUUGCGGCAUUAGCGGCCAUUGGGUUCGCGAGUGCCGCAAGAAGAUGAAGGACGAGGGCACGGGCGAGGCUCAUCUCGCGACAGCAGAAGAGGAAGACCCUGCGCUCCUAAUGGCGCAGGUGACGCCUCUGCCCGAUGAGCCCAGCCGCGACACGUCUGGGGAUCAGCUCGUGCAUCUCCACGAGGAGAGCGCCGAGGUGAGCCUCGGGGCGGCGGGAGACGCCAAGGAACCCACGUGGCACCUGGACACCGAAGCUUCGAAUCACAUGACCGGGAACUCCACCGUCUUCUCCGAGCUAGAUCGCCACGUCGCCGGCAUGGUGCGUUUCGGUGACGGGUCGGUGGUCGAGAUCGAGGGGCGCGGGACGGUGGUCUUUGUCGCCCACGGAGGGCGUCACUACCUCGCCUGCGCACCUCGAUCAUCUCCGUCGGACAGCUCGACGAGGCGGGAUGCACCGCCCUGGUUCGGAGCGGCAUGAUGGUGGUGCGAGACCGCCACAAGAACGUCAUCGUCAAGGUAGUCAGGACGAGGAACCAUCUCUACACCGUCGAGCUGGACAUCACUCAGCCCGUGUGCCUGUCAGCGUCUGCUGGCGAGGAUGCGUGGCGGUGGCAUGCCCGCUACGGGCACCUGAACUUCGACGCGCUUCGGAAGAUGUCCCAGGACGACCUAGUUCGCGGCAUGCCGCUGGUCGAGCACGUCGACCAGGUGUAUGACAGCUGCCUGGUCGGCAAGCAGCGGCGCGCCUCCUUCCCACAAGAAGCGGCCUAUCGGGUCGGUGAUCGCCUGGAUCUGGUCCAUGGUGAUCUCUGCGGACCAAUCUCGCCGCCCACACAUGGAGGGAAAAGGUACUUCCUGCUGCUUGUAGAUGACAAGUCUCGUUACAUGUGGAUUGUGCUCCUGAGCAGAAAGGACGAGGCACCGGCAGCGAUCAAGCGCUGGCAGGCCGGAGUGGAGAUGGAGACCUUCAGCAAGCUGCGCGCACUGCACACCGACAGGGGCGGGGAGUUCACCUCAUCCGAGUUUGGAGAGUAUGGGCUGAUUGCGGCGUGCGCCGGCAGCUCACUUCUCCGUACUCGCCGCAGCAGAACGGCGUUGUAGAGCGCCGGAAUCAGACUGUGGUCGGAACGGCUCGGUGUCUUCUAAAGGCGAAAGGGAUGCCGAACGAGUUCUGGGGGGAGGCGGUGACCACCGCGGUUCAUCUACUGAACUGCGGACCAACAAAGGCCGUGCGCGGCAUGACUCCCUACGAAGCUUGGCAUGGUCAGAAGCCGGCGAUGAGCUACUUCCGCACCUUCGGGUGCAUAACCCACGCCAAGGUCACACGGCCUGGUCUCAAGAAGCUGGAUGACCGCAGCCAGCGCACCGUGUUCAUCGGGUACGAGCAUGGACAGACCAAGGCGUGGCGCGUCUAUGAUUCGGUGAGCAAGUGAGUGCACGUCACCCGGGACGCUGUCUUCGACGAGAUGGUGCACUGGGAUUGGAAGAUGGAGACUGUGGGGGAGGGGACGUUCAUGAUCGAGUUCACGCCCGCCCCAACCCUCACAAGGCAGCCGGAGCAGCCCAGGACUGGAGGAGAACCGGGAUUGUGCCCAGGCACUCCCCUCGGUGACACAUCACCUGCGCCUGAGGAGCGUGGAGAGACGCCGGAGCACACACACACCCCGCAGCCAGGGGUGUACAAAGGAAAAGGCGUGAAGGAGGGGUACGUAUCGCCUCCGCCUGGCACCACGCUGGACACGACACUCGGCUCCCAAGAAGCUCCACGCCGGUACCGCAUGGUCGAUGCCGUUCACGACGAAGCGAAGCCGGUGACUCUGGAUCCAGGGGAGCUGCUGCUGGUGGCCGGGGAGGAGCCCAACUCGUUUGAAGAAGCGGAGCCGCACGCUGCCUGGAGGACAACCAUGGUAGAUGAGCUGCAGUCCAUCGACGACAACAUCACCUGGACGCUCACCACGCUCCCGCCGGGCAAGAAGGCGAUCGGGGUGAAGUGGGUGUUCAAGCUCAAGAAGAACUCCGCGGGCGAGAUCGUGAAACACAAGGCGAGGCUCGUCGCAAAGGGAUAUGCACAGCGUGCAGGCGUGGACUAUGAGGAAGUGUUCGCUCCGGUGGCACGGCUCGAGUCCGUGCGGCUACUGCUGGCCAUAGCCGCGCAAGCUGGGUGGGAGGUGCACCACCUCGACGUCAAAUCAGCUUUCCUGAACGGAGAGUUACAGGAGGAUGUGUAUGUCACACAGCCACCAGGUUUUGAGCGCGCCGACGAAGAAGGGAAGGUGUUCCGUCUCUCCAAGGCGUUGUAUGGACUCUGUCAGGCGCCGCGGGCCUGGAAUAUCAAGCAAGACGAGACACUGGUGGCACUUGGCUUCCACAGAAGCCCUUCCGAGCACGCCGUCUACAUGCGUUGCGACGGCAGGGAGCGACUGCUGCUGGGCGUGUACGUCGACGACCUAAUCGUCACUAGAUCAAGUCUGCAGGCCAUCGCUCAGUUCAAACGGUAGAUGAUGUCGGUGUUCUCCAUGAGUGACCUUGGAUUGCUGAGCUAUUAUCUCGGUAUCGAGGUGCAUCAGGGAAAGGACUCGAUCACACUCAAGCAAGCAAGUUAUGCAGCCAAGCUCGUGGAGAAAGCUGGGAUGGCAGGAUGUCACCCAGUACACAUCCCCAUGGAGCCUCGGCUGAAGCUGAGCAAGGAGAACACGAACCCUCCGGUGGAUAAGAAGCUCUACCACAGCAUUGUAGGAAGCCUCCGCUAUCUGGUACACACGCGUCCAGAUAUUUCCUAUGCAGUAGGGUUUAUCAGCAGGUUCAUGGAGACACCCACGACAGAGCACUGGGCGGCGGUGAAACAGGUGUUGAGAUAUGUAUCAGGCACUCUGAACCUUGGGUGCAGAUACAAGAAAGGAGAAGUGGAGCUGCUGCUGGUUGGAUACAGUGAUGCUGACUUCGCCGAGGAUGUCGAUGAUAGAAAGAGCACAUCAGAUAUGGUGUUCGUCUUCGGGGGGAGCGCGAUCAGCUGGCAGUCCCAGAAGCAGAAGGUGGUCGCCCUUUCAUCCUGCGAAGCCGAGUACAUGGCGGCGACUGCAGCAACGUGCAUAGGCGUUUGGCUGCGGAGAAUGCUUGGAGAUCUACUCGGUGAUCCAGGAGGUGCAACCCCAUUUCUCAUCGACAACAAGUCGGCAAUCCAGCUCUGCAAGAACCCUGUCUUCCAUGACAGGACGAAGCACAUCGAGACGCGUUUCCAUUUCAUCAGGGAAUGCGUGCAGGACGGGAGGAUCGCCGUCGAUCACAUCCACAUGAGCGAGCAUCUGGCCGACAUCAUGACCAAGGCACUGCCUCGUGUGAAGUUUCAAGAGCUACGGGAGAAACUGGGGAUGAUCAACAUCAGCAACUGAUUAGGGGGGAGACUGUGAGCUAACAGCUGCAGAUGCUUGUUCUUCCUUCAGUUUCGACAGGUUCCAACAGGUGAUCUCUUUGUCAGUUUCGUCAGGGGGAAGCCACCACCGUAUCUGUCCCGUUUUCAUUCAAAUAACCUGAGCUGCGACUCAGGCGUAGACUAGGAUAGUUAUUCCCUAUUGUUGCGGCCCUGACCUGAUCGUGGGAUGGCACGAAUGAGAUGGUCAUGGGCGCAUCACGGGCGAAGCGCGGGGAGCGUUGGGAUGGCGAUGCUCACGAC